AAAGUCACAGAUCUGGUUGAGAGCUUCUGGAUUAGUAGGAGGAGUCCACAAGUCUAUUAUUUACUAUGCACACAAACAUUUACCUAAUUUUUCUUUCAAUAAGAAACCUUAUCCGUUGCGCUGGUGCCUGAUUUUCUGACUGCAAAGUCUCUUCAAAGUCUCCUUUGCAAUUUCUCUGAAGUCUAAACCUCCCUUUGUCUUUUCAUGGAUGAGAGAAUAACAGUGGCUAUAUGAAACGGAGCGGCGAUCUCAAAUACUCGCCAUACUCUGUUUUUCAGCUCCACUUGUUCCAGCAAGCACUUCUGAGGAGUUCAAUCUGGUGUGUCAUGACUAGAACUGGACCAGCAGUUAGACAGAAAAAAGAAGAGAGAAGUAGCUUUUGCACUAUUGUCUGGCAUCAUCUACCUGGAACCAACAGGGUCCACAUUCAGACCACGAAGAAGAGAGACCUCCAGGGGAAAACAAUGAAACACAAUUUUUUAAUGAAAAUAAACAUUAAAUGACAAGGUGAAUAUUACCAUUCCAGCUAGUGGCUCUUCAUCUACUUUUCCUGAGAGACGACUAUGAGGACUAUACCCCAAAUAACACUCAAGUGAUACAUAGUAAGAGAGAAAUACACUUGUUUCUUUAAUCAUUAAUAUUUUAAUUUUAUACACCAUACUCUAACAUUUCCAGAUAAAGGAGGGGUGGUCUAAGAAUACAGUGAAUAAUUAAAUUUUUA
rnacentral:lncRNA from 1 species